rnacentral:rRNA from 1 species
AUCCGGGCUGCGGACAGUGUCUGGUGGGUAGUUUGACUGGGGCGGUCUCCUCCCAAAGCGUAACGGAGGAGCACGAAGGUUGGCUAAUCCUGGUCGGACAUCAGGAGGUUAGUGCAAUGGCAUAAGCCAGCUUGACUGCGAGAGUGACGGCUCGAGCAGGUGCGAAAGCAGGUCAUAGUGAUCCGGUGGUUCUGAAUGGAAGGGCCAUCGCUCAACGGAUAAAAGGUACUCCGGGGAUAACAGGCUGAUACCGCCCAAGAGUUCAUAUCGACGGCGGUGUUUGGCACCUCGAUGUCGGCUCAUCACAUCCUGGGGCUGAAGUAGGUCCCAAGGGUACGGCUGUUCGCCGUUUAAAGUGGUACGCGAGCUGGGUUUAGAACGUCGUGAGACAGUUCGGUCCCUAUCUGCCGUGGGCGCUGGAGAAUUGAGGGGGGUUGCUCCUAGUACGAGAGGACCGGAGUGAACGCACCGCUGGUGUCCGGGUUGUCACGCCAGUGGCACUGCCCGGUAGCUAAGUGCGGAAAAGAUAAGUGCUGAAAGCAUCUAAGCACGAAACUUGCCCCGAGAUGAGUUCUCCCUGAGCCUUUAAGGCUCCUGAAGGGACGUUGAAGACGACGACGUUGAUAGGCCGGGUGUGUAAGCGCAGCGAUGCGUUGAGCUUACCGGUACUAAUGACCCGUGAGGCUUAACCUU